CUCCAUGGCAAUUUCUGGUGACUCUUGCAAGCUUCUGGGUAGUCCUAGUAAUGCCAGAUCCAGUUGCCCUGUUGGUCAUGUUUAAGGUGGCUGAAUAAAUGGUUGAUGAUGAGAUCUUUGAAAACCAAGAAAAUGAUCCAUCCGAUGACUACUGUUUCUUAGCACUCUUGUCUAUCAUUAUAUGCUGUCCUGUAGGCUUUCUAUCCUUAAACUAUUCUCUCAAGACAAUGCACUACAAUCAAAAUCAACAAUAUGACGAGGCAGCCGAUGCCUCUAUAAGAGCAUACUGCUGGGCCAUCGCUGGCAUUAUUUUCGGCCUGGUCCCACUACACGCGUUAUUACUCCUAUCAUUUAUGAAGUGAACGCCUUCUCUCCUCAUAAGCAAGUCAGCAAAUACAUACAACAGUGCAACUUAA